AUUGAACGCUGGCGGCAGGCCUAACACAUGCAAGUCGAGCGGAUGAAGGGAGCUUGCUCCUGGAUUCAGCGGCGGACGGGUGAGUAAUGCCUAGGAAUCUGCCUGGUAGAGGGGGAUAACGUCCGGAAACGGGCGCUAAUACCGCAUACGUCCUGAGGGAGAAAGUGGGGGAUCUUCGGACCUCACGCUAUCAGAUGAGCCUAGGUCGGAUUAGCUAGUUGGUGGGGUAAAGGCCUACCAAGGCGACGAUCCGUAACUGGUCUGAGAGGAUGAUCAGUCACACUGGAACUGAGACACGGUCCAGACUCCUACGGGAGGCAGCAGUGGGGAAUAUUAGACAGUGGGCGAAAGCCUGAUCCAACCGUGCCGCGUGUGUGAAGAAGGUCUUCGGAUUGUAAAGCACUUUUAGUUGGGAGGAAGGGCAGUAAGUUGAUACCUUGCUGUUUUGACGUUACCAACAGAAUAAGCACCGGCUAACUACGUG
rnacentral:rRNA from 1 species